UACGUAGGGGGGCUAGCGUUGUCCGGAAUCAUUGGGCGUAAAGCGCGUGUAGGCGGUCCGGUAAGUCCGCUGUGAAAGUCGGGGGGCUCAACCCUCGGAUGCCGGUGGAUACUGUCGGGCUUGAGUACGGAAGAGGCGAGUGGAAUUCCUGGUGUAGCGGUGAAAUGCGCAGAUAUCAGGAGGAACACCAAUUGCGAAGGCAGCUCGCUGGGACGUUACUGACGCUGAGGAGCGAAAGCGUGGGGAGCGAACAGG
rnacentral:rRNA from 1 species